rnacentral:rRNA from 1 species
UACGUAGGGGGCAAGCGUUGUCCGGAAUCAUUGGGCGUAAAGCGCGUGUAGGCGGUUCGAUAAGUCUGCUGUGAAAGUCCAGGACUCAACCCUGGGAUGCCGGUGGAUACUGUCGGGCUAGAGUACGGAAGAGGCGAGUGGAAUUCCCGGUGUAGCGGUGAAAUGCGCAGAUAUCGGGAGGAACACCAAUUGCGAAGGCAGCUCGCUGGGACGUCACUGACGCUGAGACGCGAAAGCGUGGGGAGCAAACAGG